rnacentral:lncRNA from 14 species
GUUGUUUAGUGCUGCUGUCAUCCUGCACUCCGGGAAGAAGUGAAAGCGAAAAUCCAGCGAUGUUUUUAAGAGAGGAGAAGCCGGUUGGGUGCCUUUUUCUCUGGGAUCCAAGUGGCUUCUGCAUCUCCUGUGCAAGCCUCUGCAAAAGGAGCUGAAUGAACCCCGGGGCUGGAAAGGCUGCUCAGGCAGGGAAAGGAAGAGGCAUCAAGGCUUCUUUGGCUCCAGACCACUUUUGAGGGAGGAACCUGGUGAGGCUGCAGUGGGAUCCUGGAGAAUGUAAGACAGCAUCCAAUGCUGCUGGUGAUGAACACCCAGGGCAGGCUGAUGGAUUUAGCCCACUUUGUGCAAUUGUGUUUCCUGCUUCUAACCAUUGCAUCUUCCUGUCCAAGUAUUGCUGUGGCCAGCGAUGACCCUGCAAAGGGGACACACGACUCUUCCUUUGGCAAGACAAAUGUGGCAGUCUAUCACUGUGAGAGCAAUGCAUGCGAAUCAAGCAAUUACGAAGACUGCACAAAAAUUGGUGAAACACAAAAUGAGAGCUUUUCAAAUGAAAUAAUUCAGUUGGUGACCAGUGACACACACAUCACCAUGUGCUUUCAUCAAGGAAAUACGCUUCCUAAAGGAAUUUAUGCAGUCUUCUGGGAGAAAGACAUGGGAGCAGGAGACUCGUGUGGCAUCCUGGAUUAUGAAGCUUCCUUGAAAAAUAGGUACAGUAACAUCAUUACAGAGGAGGUUAAAGUUUGCUGCAAAGCAAGCACAAACCUCUCAGUGCCCAACCAUACCUUGAGGUGCUACACUGAAGUGUUGGAUGAGAAACCCAGAAAAUCAACAGCCGACAUCACUGGUGAGGGAAAUCAAGAUAAUCCUCAAUAUUUGGUCAGUGAACAGAGCAAUGUUGGCGUCAUCACCACCGUAACAAUUCCUGUGCUUUGCGUAGCAGCAGCUCUGGCAAUAUCUUGUGUGCUACGGAGAAGAAAUGGACCUGUCAUAGUGCUUCAUCAGACUUCAUGCUGUUAG